rnacentral:tRNA from 11 species
GGGCGGUUAGCUCAGCGGUAGAGCACUACGUUGACAUCGUAGGGGUCACAAGUUCGAUCCUUGUACCGCCCACCA